UACGUAGGGUGCAAGCGUAAUCGGAAUUACUGGGCGUAAAGCGUGCGCAGGCGGUUUUGUAAGUCUGUCGUGAAAUCCCCGGGCUCAACCUGGGAACUGCAUUUGUGACUGCAUCGCUGGAGUGCGGCAGAGGGGGAUGGAAUUCCGCGUGUAGCAGUGAAAUGCGUAGAUAUGCGGAGGAACACCGAUGGCGAAGGCAAUCCCCUGGGCCUGCACUGACGCUCAUGCACGAAAGCGUGGGGAGCAAACAGG
rnacentral:rRNA from 1 species